rnacentral:rRNA from 1 species
AGUGAACGCUGGCGGUAGGCCUAACACAUGCAAGUCGAACGGCAGCACAGUAAGAGCUUGCUCUUACGGGUGGCGAGUGGCGGACGGGUGAGGAAUACAUCGGAAUCUACUUUUUCGUGGGGGAUAACGUAGGGAAACUUACGCUAAUACCGCAUACGACCUACGGGUGAAAGCAGGGGAUCUUCGGACCUUUCGCGAUUGAAUGAGCCGAUGUCGGAUUAGCUAGUUGGCGGGGUAAAGGCCCACCAAGGCGACGAUCCGUAGCUGGUCUGAGAGGAUGAUCAGCCACACUGGAACUGAGACACGGGCCAGACUCCUACGGGAGGCAGCAGUGGGGAAUAUUGGACAAUGGGCGCAAGCCUGAUCCAGCCAUACCGCGUGGGUGAAGAAGGCCUUCGGGUUGGAAAGCCCUUUUGUUGGGAAAGAAAAGCAGCAGGUUAAUACCCCGCUGUUCUGACGGUACCCAAAGAAGAAACACCGGCUAACUUCGU